CUCCUUGAAUUGGUGACCUAAUGAAGUGAAAUUUCUUUUAUUUACCUUCCAACACGAAAAAAAUAGUUAAGGUACGACUUUAAUUAACAAAUACUCAUAGACGAUGGAAAUAAGCAUGAAAUUGAAUAAUUAAAGUAUUUAAAUGAAAGUAAACAACCCAUAUUUAAGAAAUUAAAACAAGCAAGGACCUAACUGAAACAAUUAAAGAAGUUUGAGAGGUCAAAUUAAAGGAAAAUAAAAUUAAGGGCUCUAAAUAAAGUCUACCAAAACUAAAUGCUAAAAUUCACAAAAAAAUAAAUGAAAACCCAUUUGCUAUAAUUAAACAACAAAAUUACCCAAAAUUUUACUAAAAUCCAAACCAAAAUUGUAAAUCUUAUAAAAAAUUAUUAAACCUAAAAUUUCAUCCUAAAAUUCACCAAUAAUCUGUCCAAAAAUCACAUUAAAACAUACCAAAGAAAAAUAACAUUUUAAAAGGACAAAAUUGAUUAAUUUUCCAAUUUUAUGGGCCAUAGUAGUAUGAAGUAACAAUCCAGGGGUCAAAGUGCAAUUGUUUGGAAAUAUUUCAUGCAGCCCACGAAGAAGCUUUCUGCAACUUUGCCGCUAUGGGAUUCAUAUCGAACACAGGUAACAAAAUCCAAGCAAAACAUCAAGUUUUCAGACUAAAACAACAAAGAUUAUGGAGUCCAAGCAUCAAGAUUCAAUCUUGGGUAUAUUUAAUACAAAAUUUGUGCUAUAAAAUCUGAACUAUCAUCCCAUAAGAUGAGUAGGAAAAGUGCGGCAAAAGAAGAGAAUAAUGCAAGCUAGAUUCGGACAAGUUUGGCCCAGAUUUAAACUUAAAUGGCAAGGGUAAAGUGAACUACAUCACCUUAAACACUUUAAGAAAUGGAGAUGACGCUGUAAGCUUGAGGGGAGAGGAAUCCAAGCACUGCAACUACAAGCAGAUAUGCUUGGCGCAGAUGAUGCAAGAACUGUGACUUCAGCAGGUUUAGGCUUCGAUUCAAGGGCGUUGCAGUGGUUUUUUCCCAAAACUUGUAACACAAAGAUUCCUCCCCAAACACCGUAGAUUAUCCAACAAAAUAAAUCUUUCUAAAAUAAGUUAUGAUCAGAUCAGAAAAUGGCCGGGAAGAUCCCUAAAUCUCCAACCCUGGCUCAACUUUUAGCAGAAAAAAUUUCUGCACUUUUCUCUCUCCUUUCUUUCUCGAUUUUCCCUCCCUUUUUGCUGUUUUUUCCUUCUGUUUUCCUCUCUCAGUUUCUUCCCAGGUUCCUUCAGCCGCUAAACCCCAUUUUUCCUUCUCCCUUUUCUUUUCUUUCCCCCUUUCCUCCUACUGCCCGAAGCCUCUCUUCCAGUGUUUUCCUUUUUCCAACCUCGGUUUUCCUUUUCCAGUUUCUCCCCUGUUUUCUUUCUUUCUUCCCUGAUCCUCUCUUGUUCUUUCCUUUCUGUUCCUCAGCCCCCUUUUCUCCCAAUCUCCUCUCUUUUCACCCUUUCCCGCAGCUCUUCCUCUUGUUUUUUCUUUCUUGCUUUUCUCUUGUUUUUUCCUCUCUCUCCCUGCAACCUCUUGCUUGUUUCUCCCUUUCUUUCUUUUCCUUCACCGCCCCCAAGCUUUCUUUCUUGCCCAGUUUUUUUCUCUCCCAAAACCUCCCUCUCUAGU
rnacentral:lncRNA from 1 species